CAGUAGCCGCGGUAAUACGUAGGGAGCAAGCGUUGUUCGGAUUUACUGGGCGUAAAGGGCGCGUAGGCGGCGCGGUAAGUCACUUGUGAAAUCUCUGAGCUUAACUCAGAACGGCCAAGUGAUACUGCUGUGCUAGAGUGCGGAAGAGGCAACCGGAAUUCUUGGUGUAGCGGUGAAAUGCGUAGAUAUCAAGAGGAACACCUGAGGCGAAGGCGGGUUGCUGGGCCGACACUGACGCUGAUGCGCGAAAGCCAGGGGAGCAAACGGGAUUAGAUACCCCCGUAGUCCCUGUCUCUUAUAC
rnacentral:rRNA from 1 species